rnacentral:tRNA from 1 species
GCCGGCUUAGCUAUAAUUGGUAGAGCACCUGACUUGUAAUCAGGGGGUUGUCGGUUCGAGUCCGGCAGCCGGCUC